UAUUUUAUGCUUAGUAGUAAUAGUUUAUAUAUGUCAAUCCCAAUCUUCUAAUUCAUCUCGUCCCUUUCCCCCCUUGCUAUCCUACACUUGUUCUCUGUGUCUCUGUUUCUGCUUUGUAAAUAAGAUCGUCUGAGGCAGUGUCCUUAAUACAGGCUUUAGCUUCAGACAGGACAGACGUAGCAGACUGUCUCCGUCAUCAGUCAAGCGUAUGACUGUAGAUAGGUUGCUUAAGCUCUUGGAGCCCUACUUACUUAUCUGCCAAAUGAGGAUUGUAUUCUUUCUCUUCCCCCUUGCCUUCUCUUCCCUCUUUCCUCCUUUCACAAGCACUUACUGACCACUUCAUGUCAGACACCAAGGGGAUACAAGACAAAAUAAUAUAGGGAUGGUCUUUGUUCUCCUGGAACUAUUUUAAGAUUUGGAAGGAUGAUGAGAAUGAGUAUGGUGAGGAAACAAAAUGUGAGAUAGCUAGAUGAGAGAUGGAUAGGACUGGAGAGAUAUUAUUCACUAAAUGAGUUCGAAUUGAGAGAGGCUAAGGGAAUGUGAUUGCCUUUAUUUUAUUUACUUCUGGCUGCACUGAAUCUUCGUUGCUGUGCAUGGGCUUUCUCUAACGGCGGUGAGCAGGGCCUGCUCUUCAUUGCAGGGCACGGCCUUCUCACUACAGUGGCAUGUGGGCUCACGGCACACGCGGACCCAGGAGUCGUGGCUCUCGUGUUCAGGAGCUAUGGCACACAGGCUUAGCUGCUCCAUGGCAUGUGGGAUCUUCCUGGACUAGGGAUGGAGCCCAUGUUCCCUGCAGUGGUGGAUCCUUAUCCACUGUACCAUGAGAGAAGUCCAUGAUUCCUUUGAAAAUGUCUGAUUGAUUACCAAUGGAAGAGAAAGAGAAAAAGAAAGAAUGAGAUAGGAGAGGAAUGAAAAGGAAAUAGGAGAUGUGGAUGCAAAUGAAAAGAGAAAGUACAGAACAGGGGAGAUGAAAAACAGGCUGGUGGGUUUAAGCUGGUGAGUUAGCUGAGCUGUAUGUAGAUUUAUCAUCAGGAUAUAAAAGUGUUGCUAAAUUGUAGCUGGAAAUGUGGUUAGUAAACCUCCCAGUCCAGUACUCUCAACUCACUCAUUGCUGGACCCUGUGAGCUGUCUUCCCUGUCCUUCUGGCUUAGAAUUUCUGAGAGAAUAUAAAGAGACAGGAAGACCAAGGAUAACUCAAAGAUUGGGGGCUUGUGUGACCAGAGUAAUAAUGAUAUCACUCAUAGAAACAGAAAAAUGAGCCAUAGAAAUUAGGUCUCAAGUUUGGUUUAAAACCUAAGUUUCAGCUAUGAGCAGCUUGUCCAGGUGGAGCUGGAGGUUGGAAUGUGAUUUGGGGCAAAGGUCCCUUUAGAAACAUGCAUCUGAAAAAUGCACUUUGCGAUCAUGAAAUCAGAUAGUUCCUGAGGGAAAGAACAGAGACAAAGGUAAACCAAAGAGCAAAUACUGAAUUGGAGGGUUGUCACUUGGGGGUGACUAGGUUCCUUCAGGUCACAGGAGGAGGAAGGGCUACAACCAAUGGAAACUGGAGUUGCCCAUGAAAGAAGAGCCAAAGGAGUAUCAUAUCAGUGAAUCCAAGAGAAGAAAUUUCAAGAGAAGGAUGGCAAGUGACCACUGUGGAAAACAAUACUGUGGACGGAUUAAAGAUGCUAAGAACAAAGGGACGAGCCAUUGGAUAUGAGGGGGCUGGCCUCCAUCAUGUUUGUGGACAUCUGAGACACUGCCGCAGCUUCGUAAUGACUCCUGAAAGGGAAACAGGGUAGUUUCAGUGAUCAUACAGGCGUCUCACCCAAGUGGAAAAUUCCUGUGCCUGACAUGUGCCAGCAGAUGGGACUUCCCAGCCCUCCUUUGGUCACCCAAGAUGCACAGCAACUUGCUGCAAACUCAGACCCCUGAGAGGUGAGGAAGAGGAGGACAGUAUGCGUGGUGUUCCUCUAGCCUGUAAGUCUUGAUGCCCUUGCAUCAUAAACAGCAUCCUCACCGAUAAGGCAAAAUGAAACACUGAAGUCUUAACUUACGCAACUCAGCAUGGGUGCAAAGGACGUGUCUCACUGAGGGACACGCAGAGGGAUUACACAACACGCUCUGUACACUGAGACGACACAUGAUAUGGCAGCCUCUCCUCAGCUCCAGCAGUUAACCACUCACCAAUCUCUGCUGUCCUUUAUUUUCCUCCCUGCCGUCCUUCUAUGAACUUUUUAAAGCCCAAGGAUACCCUAGAAUGUAUUGACACAGACAACUGCGAAUGAGUUACUGCUCAGUUCUCUGACAUCGUCCUUCUCAGGAUCAAGGACAAGAUCUCAUGUCCUUCCUGAGGUAGAAAAUGGCCACAAGUCUUAAUACAUUCCAGGCAAUAACCCUGGACUCCUAAAGUGAGUAUUUGUACAUAUCUCAUCAUUUUGAUUGGCUGUAUGAAUCCCAGUUCCUCUGUUUAAGAUUCAGAAACAUAAAAUGGGAUUUGGGUCUAUUGCUUAGAACAAUGCUGUUGAAAUUCCCAGACACCCUCUUUGUCAUUUAAAGAGGAAAAAUAUCAUAAAUAAGGGCUUUGUCAAAUACUGCUUGCUUGAUUAAAAGGAAAAACUCAUGUUUCUUGUAAAAAUUGGUUUUCACUGAAGUCUUCUUUCUAAACAAAAGAUACUUCUAGAGUUUUAGGAAAAUGGUUUAUCUCUAGAUGACUGUGGUAUUAUUUUCUUUAUGCUCAGUCGCUUUGUUGUAUCCAACUUUUUGUGACCCUUUCUUUAUGCUAGGUUUUUACAAAAUAAAAAAAACUUGGUUGACAUAUAGACUACUAAUCUCAUAGCAGGAGUAAAAGACCGUUAUUUCUUUUAUCUGUUAAAUUAACGUUAGUGGGGUUUUUUGCUCAUUUUUAAAAAUUAUAGUUGAUGUAAAAUAUUCUAUGUUACGGAUUUGCAAUAUCGUGAUUCAGUUUUUAAAGGCUAUACUCCAUUUAUAGUUAUUACCCUAUACUGCCCCGCCCCCUUCCCUGUCCUAACUGGUAACCACUAGUUUGUUCUCUGUACCAGAGAGUCUGCCUC